UAAGUUAUCAAAUAAUAAUUAUAUUAUGUAUAGAAGUAAAAUAAAUAAUCUUAGAAAGUUGAAGACACCAUUCAAAACCCAAAGACUAUUUGUUUUCAAUAUUAUACUUAUAAUAAGUCAAUUUUAACUCGCGCAAAUUCGGUGGACAGGCAUGACGUGGUCACUGUGAAGACAACCGUCAGUCGUCAAAGCACAACGCCAUAACGCCAUGACGAUGGCGCACCGCUUCCUGAAUUUUCGUUUUCAUCCACCUAAAACUUUCAACUUAAACCUACCUUAUACCGUGGCUAAAUUGACUAUUUAGUCAUGCUUAAUAUGUUAUACGGUAUUAAUACACCGAGUGGUAAUAACCGAUCAAUAGUGGAAUGUCAUUUGUAUACAAAUAUAUGUUUUAUUCAUAUAAUAUUUGUUAUAAAAAUGCGGUGAAUGAAAUGUUUGUGUAAUAUAUCUUCUGUUUAUAAGUAAAGAUUAUUAAUCCGUUAUCUUAGAAUGGCACAGAAACUUUUUCCGUCUGUCUUUAUAACUAGCAAAUUCAAAAAUGUGUUAGUUUUUGUAGUUCCGACCGUUAAAUUAUGUUAAUGAUUGCUUCAGUUUACCUAUGGAUUUAUUUGGUUGAUAUUGAUAUCCGAAGUAUAUAUACAGGCAAUUCUAAUUUAAAUUCAAUUUUUGAAAAAUCAUUCAAUAUUACGCUUCACGAUUUGUCGCCAGAUUCAAAAAUAUUGGUUAUAAUAUAUUUUUUACAUAGUGUAUUCACUCCUUUGUCAAAAAAUCAACUCAUGAUGAAUAUUGAAUAUGGUAGAAAAGGUUUUACCAAAUACAUUGUGCAAGAAUUAAUUAAUCAUGAAUUUUUUAUUGUGACACUAACUUCUGUGAACAUUGAAUCUAUACAAUAAGGUAGAUAUUGACUUUAACAGAAUAUACUGUAAAAAUUGAAGAAGUGUUUCUAAAACGCAUUAAAAUAUUGAAUGAACGGAUAAAUAAUUCAACACACGAGAUUUAACCAAUGAUUCAAAAUAUCUGAUAGUUAUGUACAUGUUACAUAGUCUGCUAAUUCCUUGAUCAAGAAAAUUAACAUGAGAAGAGAAUUGAAAAAAAUACUAUGUAAAAUAUGGAAUCAAUGAUUCCUAAAAUUCAACCAUAAAAUCUAAUAAAAAACUAUUGGAUAUAGAAGCACUUUUAAAAUAGACGGCACAGAAUCCAUACAUAAUAUUUUAAAAAUGGAUAGACCACCGGAACUUAAAACCCAUUGCUGGACGGAGCACUAUAUAAAAGCAAUCCCUCUCUCAUCCAUAUUCCAGACCACGACCCCUUAUUUUGUUAAAAAAGGAAUGGCCUAUCCAUUCUUAUAUUAUCUAUAGUCCUAUCCAGCCAAAUAUAUUGAUUGUUGGUUGUUGGUACAUUAUUUUAUGCGAAACAAAUUUUGAUAUAUUUUAUUGAAGUCAAUUAUUAUAUGACUUACAAUUUAAAAAAUACUUUACGUAUUUUUGGAAAUGUUCCAUAUUUUUAAUGUUGAAUAUUUGCUCGAAUCUGAGAGUAUGUGUGGAUUUUGUUACAAACAUUUUUUUGAAUAUUCAUACAAUGUAUGACAAGUCAUAUACCUACCUUCACUAAACAAAUUUCUUCAGAAAUUAGGGGCUAAGGUAUAACAGAUUUGUUUUUAUUUAACUAUUUGUUUUCAUUAUACCUACUUACUUUCUAUAAUAGUAAUAAUAUUAAUAUAAUAUUUACCUUUUUUAAUAACUAUUCAUGUUUAUAUAAUAUUUUACUUUGUUUUAUAAUGUAGUUACAAAUAUUUUAUAGUUAGGUAUUAACUAUUUUUAUUUAGUUCCAACCUAA